GGGUUGUGAGGUUAAGCGACUAAGCGUACACGGUGGAUGCCCUGGCAGUCAGAGGCGAUGAAGGACGUGCUAAUCUGCGAUAAGCGUCGGUGAGGUGAUAUGAACCGUUAUAACCGGCGAUUUCCGAAUGGGGAAACCCAGUGUGUUUCGACACACUAUCAUUAACUGAAUCCAUAGGUUAAUGAGGCGAACCGGGGGAACUGAAACAUCUAAGUACCCCGAGGAAAAGAAAUCAACCGAGAUUCCCCCAGUAGCGGCGAGCGAACGGGGAGGAGCCCAGAGCCUGAAUCAGUGUGUGUGUUAGUGGAAGCGUCUGGAAAGGCGUGCGAUACAGGGUGACAGCCCCGUACACAAAAAUGCACAUAUUGUGAGCUCGAUGAGUAGGGCGGGACACGUGGUAUCCUGUCUGAAUAUGGGGGGACCAUCCUCCAAGGCUAAAUACUCCUGACUGACCGAUAGUGAACCAGUACCGUGAGGGAAAGGCGAAAAGAACCCCGGCGAGGGGAGUGAAAAAGAACCUGAAACCGUGUACGUACAAGCAGUGGGAGCCUCUUAAUGAGGUGACUGCGUACCUUUUGUAUAAUGGGUCAGCGACUUAUAUUCUGUAGCAAGGUUAACCGAAUAGGGGAGCCGAAGGGAAACCGAGUCUUAACUGGGCGUUAAGUUGCAGGGUAUAGACCCGAAACCCGGUGAUCUAGCCAUGGGCAGGUUGAAGGUUGGGUAACACUAACUGGAGGACCGAACCGACUAAUGUUGAAAAAUUAGCGGAUGACUUGUGGCUGGGGGUGAAAGGCCAAUCAAACCGGGAGAUAGCUGGUUCUCCCCGAAAGCUAUUUAGGUAGCGCCUCGUGAAUUCAUCUCCGGGGGUAGAGCACUGUUUCGGCAAGGGGGUCAUCCCGACUUACCAACCCGAUGCAAACUGCGAAUACCGGAGAAUGUUAUCACGGGAGACACACGGCGGGUGCUAACGUCCGUCGUGAAGAGGGAAACAACCCAGACCGCCAGCUAAGGUCCCAAAGUCAUGGUUAAGUGGGAAACGAUGUGGGAAGGCCCAGACAGCCAGGAUGUUGGCUUAGAAGCAGCCAUCAUUUAAAGAAAGCGUAAUAGCUCACUGGUCGAGUCGGCCUGCGCGGAAGAUGUAACGGGGCUAAACCAUGCACCGAAGCUGCGGCAGCGACACUAUGUGUUGUUGGGUAGGGGAGCGUUCUGUAAGCCUGUGAAGGUGGCCUGUGAGGGUUGCUGGAGGUAUCAGAAGUGCGAAUGCUGACAUAAGUAACGAUAAAGCGGGUGAAAAGCCCGCUCGCCGGAAGACCAAGGGUUCCUGUCCAACGUUAAUCGGGGCAGGGUGAGUCGACCCCUAAGGCGAGGCCGAAAGGCGUAGUCGAUGGGAAACAGGUUAAUAUUCCUGUACUUGGUGUUACUGCGAAGGGGGGACGGAGAAGGCUAUGUUGGCCGGGCGACGGUUGUCCCGGUUUAAGCGUGUAGGCUGGUUUUCCAGGCAAAUCCGGAAAACCAAGGCUGAGGCGUGAUGACGAGGCACUACGGUGCUGAAGCGACAAAUGCCCUGCUUCCAGGAAAAGCCUCUAAGCAUCAGGUAACAUCAAAUCGUACCCCAAACCGACACAGGUGGUCAGGUAGAGAAUACCAAGGCGCUUGAGAGAACUCGGGUGAAGGAACUAGGCAAAAUGGUGCCGUAACUUCGGGAGAAGGCACGCUGAUAUGUAGGUGAAGCGACUUGCUCGUGGAGCUGAAAUCAGUCGAAGAUACCAGCUGGCUGCAACUGUUUAUUAAAAACACAGCACUGUGCAAACACGAAAGUGGACGUAUACGGUGUGACGCCUGCCCGGUGCCGGAAGGUUAAUUGAUGGGGUUAGCGGCAACGCGAAGCUCUUGAUCGAAGCCCCGGUAAACGGCGGCCGUAACUAUAACGGUCCUAAGGUAGCGAAAUUCCUUGUCGGGUAAGUUCCGACCUGCACGAAUGGCGUAAUGAUGGCCAGGCUGUCUCCACCCGAGACUCAGUGAAAUUGAACUCGCUGUGAAGAUGCAGUGUACCCGCGGCAAGACGGAAAGACCCCGUGAACCUUUACUAUAGCUUGACACUGAACAUUGAGCCUUGAUGUGUAGGAUAGGUGGGAGGCUUUGAAGUGUGGACGCCAGUCUGCAUGGAGCCGACCUUGAAAUACCACCCUUUAAUGUUUGAUGUUCUAACGUUGGCCCGUAAUCCGGGUUGCGGACAGUGUCUGGUGGGUAGUUUGACUGGGGCGGUCUCCUCCUAAAGAGUAACGGAGGAGCACGAAGGUUGGCUAAUCCUGGUCGGACAUCAGGAGGUUAGUGCAAUGGCAUAAGCCAGCUUGACUGCGAGCGUGACGGCGCGAGCAGGUGCGAAAGCAGGUCAUAGUGAUCCGGUGGUUCUGAAUGGAAGGGCCAUCGCUCAACGGAUAAAAGGUACUCCGGGGAUAACAGGCUGAUACCGCCCAAGAGUUCAUAUCGACGGCGGUGUUUGGCACCUCGAUGUCGGCUCAUCACAUCCUGGGGCUGAAGUAGGUCCCAAGGGUAUGGCUGUUCGCCAUUUAAAGUGGUACGCGAGCUGGGUUUAGAACGUCGUGAGACAGUUCGGUCCCUAUCUGCCGUGGGCGCUGGAGAACUGAGGGGGGCUGCUCCUAGUACGAGAGGACCGGAGUGGACGCAUCACUGGUGUUCGGGUUGUCAUGCCAAUGGCACUGCCCGGUAGCUAAAUGCGGAAGAGAUAAGUGCUGAAAGCAUCUAAGCACGAAACUUGCCCCGAGAUGAGUUCUCCCUGACUCCUUGAGAGUCCUGAAGGAACGUUGAAGACGACGACGUUGAUAGGCCGGGUGUGUAAGCGCAGCGAUGCGUUGAGCUAACCGGUACUAAUGAACCGUGAGGCUUAACCUUACAACGCCGAAG
rnacentral:rRNA from 1 species